rnacentral:rRNA from 1 species
AGUGAACGCUGGCGGUAGGCCUAACACAUGCAAGUCGAACGGCAGCACAGUAAGAGCUUGCUCUUACGGGUGGCGAGUGGCGGACGGGUGAGGAAUACAUCGGAAUCUACUUUUUCGUGGGGGGUAACGUAGGGAAACUUACGCUAAUACCGCAUAGGACCUACGGGUGAAAGCAGGGGAUCUUCGGACCUUGCGCGAUUGAAUGAGCCGAUGUCGGAUUAGCUAGUUGGCGGGGUAAAGGCCCACCAAGGCGACGAUCCGUAGCUGGUCUGAGAGGAUGAUCAGCCACACUGGAACUGAGACACGGUCCAGACUCCUACAGGAGGCAGCAGUGGGGAAUAUUGGACAAUGGGGGCAAGCCUGCUCCAGCCAUACCGCGUGGGUGAAGAAGGCCUUCGGGUUGUAAAGCCCUUUUGUUGGGAAAGAAAAGCAGCAGGUUAAUACCCCGCUGUUCUGACGGUACCCAAAGAAUAAGCACCGGCUAACUUCGUG